UCUCUCCAGUUGCAGCGCCGAGUCACCCACGUAGCCUCCGGCAGGGUCGAUGCCAUGUUCGUCGCUGAUCACUUCCCAAAACUUGGGCAAGCGAGGAGGGGGACAGAAGGAAAUGUUGGUGUGAGCUUCUGUAUGACUUCUGGUUAAAUGAUGCUGCUGUCUGAGUCAGAUUUCUGACGAGGGAAACGCUCCCAACUCUCCUGCUGACUUGCCAACUACGUUGAUAGGCAUUAGGGUAUCACAAAGGAUGCCAAAGAAGAGGCACGUGGCUCACGUGUGGGGGAAGCGUCCUGGAGCUUCCACGCCCUCCCAGGGCCCGCCACCUCCAGCAGCCGCCCUGAGUUCAGCCGUGUGGCAGCUCCGGGAUGUCUGUGGAGGCUUCGUUACCCUGGCAUGGUUGGUUAAACCACUGGCCCACCCUCAGCCCCUCUCCUCUGCCUAGAGGUUGGGGUGAGGCUGAAAGUCCCAACUCUCUGAUCACAGGGCAGCCUCCCCCGGCCUGAGCCCAGCCAGGAACCCCGCACGAGUAUCCUCAUUACAACAACAGACGCCCCCACCACCCAGGAGAUCCCACGGGAUUUAGGAGUCCUGGGUCAGCUGCUGCCAUCGCUCGGGAAAUCGCAACACUCUUGGGAGCUUUGUGUCCGGAACUGGAGGCAGAGGCCAAAUGUAUAUUUCUUAUUAUUAGUAUAUCAUAACGCUCUGGCCUGGCCGUGGAGGGGCAGAAUGGCCUGGCUCUGAGCAGCAGAGACCUCCACAGACUGGCAGCUGCGGGUCACAGCCAGAGGUCGUCUCAGGGGAGGCCUGGGUGGCACACCAUCCCAGUGGUUGGAGCAUGUCACCCAAUGCCUUGGCACCCAAGCCCCCAGAUCAUCUGGUGUGAACCCCCGGGGCGUGCAGAGAGAAAGACCACUCAGUGGAUGGAGGCUCGGAAUAAAAGCCAGUGCGCUGACAGGUUUUAAAAGCUAUACUUAUUUAAAGUG